rnacentral:rRNA from 1 species
AUUGAACGCUGGCGGCAGGCCUAACACAUGCAAGUCGAGCGGCAGCGGGACCUUCGGGUUGCCGGCGAGCGGCGGACGGGUGAGUAAUGCCUAGGAAUCUGCCUGUUAGUGGGGGAUAACGCGGGGAAACUCGCGCUAAUACCGCAUACGUCCUACGGGAGAAAGUGGGGGCUCUUCGGACCUCACGCUAUCGGAUGAGCCUAGGUCGGAUUAGCUAGUUGGUGGGGUAAAGGCUCACCAAGGCGACGAUCCGUAACUGGUCUGAGAGGAUGAUCAGUCACACUGGAACUGAGACACGGUCCAGACUCCUACGGGAGGCAGCAGUGGGGAAUAUUGGACAAUGGGCGAAAGCCUGAUCCAGCCAUGCCGCGUGUGUGAAGAAGGUCUUCGGAUUGUAAAGCACUUUAAGUUGGGAGGAAGGGUUGCAGGUUAAUACCUUGCAGCCUUGACGUUACCGACAGAAUAAGCACCGGCUAACUUCGUGCCAGCCGCCGCCGUAA